GGGAGGCAGCAGCAGGGAAUCUUGGGCAAUGGGCGAAAGCCUGACCCAGCGACGUCGCGUGGGGGACGAAGGCCUUAGGGUUGUAAACCCCUUUUCUGAGGGAAGAGACAGGACGGUACCUCGGGAAUAAGCCCCGGCUAACUACGUGCCAGCAGCCGCGGUAAUACGUAGGGGGCGAGCGUUAUCCGGAAUCACUGGGCGUAAAGUGCGCGUAGGCGGUUUGAUAAGUCUCUUGUGAAAGCUCCCGGCUCAACUGGGAGAGGUCAAGGGAUACUAUUCGACUUGAGGACAGCAGAGGUAAGCRGAAUUCCCGGUGUAGCGGUGGAAUGCGUAGAUAUCGGGAGGAACACCAGUGGCGAAAGCGGCUUUCUGGGCCGUAUCUGACGCUGAGGCGCGAGAGCGUGGGGAGCAAACYGGAUUAGAUACCCCGGUAGUCCACGCCCUAAACGAUGGAUACUAGGUAUGGGGGGUAUUGACCCCCUCCGUGCCGCAGCUAACGCGUUAAGUMUCCCGCCUG
rnacentral:rRNA from 1 species